GAGGAUAUAGUUCAAUAGGUAGAACGUCUGUUCGUGGCUCAGAAGGUUUCUCUGUUCAAGUCAGAGUAUCCUCC
rnacentral:tRNA from 2 species